UACGGGGGGGGGCAAGCGUUGUUCGGAAUUACUGGGCGUAAAGGGCUCGUAGGCGGCCAACUAAGUCAGACGUGAAAUCCCCAGGCUCAACCUGGGAACUGCGUCUGAUACUGGUUGGCUUGAAUCCGGGAGAGGGAUGCAGAAUUCCAGGUGUAGCGGUGAAAUGCGCAGAUAUCAGGAGGAACACCGGUGGCGAAGGCGGGUCUCUGGGCAAUAACUGACGCUGAGGAGCGAAAGCGUGGGGAGCGAACAGG
rnacentral:rRNA from 1 species